rnacentral:rRNA from 1 species
UACAGAGGUCUCAAGCGUUGUUCGGAUUCAUUGGGCGUAAAGGGUGCGUAGGCGGCGCGGUAAGUCGGGUGUGAAAUCUCGGAGCUUAACUCCGAAACUGCAUUCGAUACUGCCGUGCUUGAGGACUGGAGAGAAGACUGGAAUUUACGGUGUAGCGGUGAAAUGCGUAGAUAUUGUCAAGAACCCCGAUUGCGAAGGCAGCUUACUAAACUAUAACUGACGCUGAGGCACGAAAGUGUGGGGAUCAAACAGG